rnacentral:rRNA from 1 species
UACGGAGGGUGCAAGCGUUACCCGGAUUUACUGGGUGUAAAGGGUCCGCAGGCGGUUAAGCAAGUCAGUUUUUAAAUCCUCUGGCUCAACCAGAGAAUUGGAACUGAUACUGCUUAACUAUGAGUCCAGAGGGGGGAAACGGAACUGCCGGUGUAGCGGUGAAAUGCGUAGAUAUCGGCAGGAACACCCGUGGCGAAGGCGGUUUCCUACUCUUGUACUGACGCUCAGGGACGAAAGCGUGGGGAGCGAUCGGG